CACGUAGGGCGCAAGCGUUGUCCGGAAUUAUUGGGCGUAAAGAGCUCGUAGGCGGUCUGUUGCGUCCGCUGUGAAAACUCGGGGCUUAACCCCCGAGCCUGCAGUGGAUACGGGCAGACUAGAGGUAGGUAGGGGAGAAUGGAAUUCCCGGUGUAGCGGUGAAAUGCGCAGAUAUCGGGAGGAACACCAGUGGCGAAGGCGGCUCACUGGCCCGAUACUGACGCUGAGGUGCGAAAGCGUGGGGAGCGAUCCGG
rnacentral:rRNA from 1 species